UACGUAGGGGGCGAGCGUUAUCCGGAAUUAUUGGGCGUAAAGCGCGUGUAGGCGGCCCGGUAAGUCGGAUGUGUAAUCCCAGAGCUCAACUCUGGAACUGCAUCCGAUACUGCAGGGCUUGAGGUAGGUAGAGGAAGGUGGAAUUUCCAGUGUAGCGGUGGAAUGCGCAGAUAUUGGAAGGAACACCGACGGCGAAGGCAGCCUUCUGGGCCUCACCUGACGCUGAGACGCGAAUGCAUGGGUAGCGAACAGG
rnacentral:misc_RNA from 1 species